GACGAACGCUGGCGGCGUGCCUAAUACAUGCAAGUCGAGCGGAUGACGGAGGAGCUUGCUCCUCCUGAUUCAGCGGCGGACGGGUGAGUAACACGUGGGCAACCUGCCCUGUAGAUUGGGAUAACUCCGGGAAACCGGGGCUAAUACCGAAUAAUCCUUCGGACCUCAUGGUCCGAUGUUGAAAGACGGCAUCUUGCUGUCACUACAGGAUGGGCCCGCGGCGCAUUAGCUAGUUGGUGAGGUAACGGCGCACCAAGGCGACGAUGCGUAGCCGACCUGAGAGGGUGAUCGGCCACACUGGGACUGAGACACGGCCCAGACUCCUACGGGAGGCAGCAGUAGGGAAUCUUCCACAAUGGACGAAAGUCUGAUGGAGCAACGCCGCGUGAGUGAAGAAGGUUCUCGGAUCGUAAAACUCUGUUGUGAGGGAAGAACAAGUACCGGAGUAACUGCCGGUGCCUUGACGGUACCUCAUUAGAAAGCCACGGCUAACUACGUGCCAGCCGCCGCAGUAAAAC
rnacentral:rRNA from 1 species